rnacentral:lncRNA from 1 species
GAUGUCCCGGCCUUUCCUUGAACCAGUAGACCCUAAUGAUGCACCAGAUUAUUAUGGUGUUAUUAAGGAACCUAUGGAUUGACCUUUGUAAAGAAGAAAAACAUGUUAGAAGAAAAAUGGAAAAGAACUCUGCAUGCCCUCAGCUCAGAUGCCAUCUCCUCUGGGAGCUCCUCUGGCCCCUGCCAAGGCUGGAUCAGAUGCCCUCAGGGCACACACGAUGCUGAUCCAGGGCCAUCUGUGGCCCAGACUCUGGGUCCCUCAUGCAGCCCUCACCACUGCUCAGGAGGCCACAGGAACAGAGGAAUCACUGGCCCAUUUUACAGACGGGAAAGCUGGACCCGGAGAAGUGAAGCAACUUUCCUGACUCACAGUGGAGGCAGCCUUCCAAGUUUUCUACCCCCGACUACACAGUGGAGCUGAAGAGCACCACUCUCUGCUGGGCCCCUAAAACAAAUCCAGUAAGAAGAACGUGCUGGAGGCUGCUUCCAGCAGAUCGGCUUCUUUGUACGACCCAAGCUCUGUGCCUUCUCUGGCCUCUAUUACUGUGACAUCUGCCACCAAGAUGAUGCCUCAGUGAUUCUGGCCAGGAUCAUCCACAGCUGGGACCUCACCAAGCACCUGGUUUGUUGGUGGACCAAAGUAAGAUCUACAGCAGGGCCUUCUACUCCUGCGCAGCUGGCAUGGCCCUGGCUGCUGUGUGCCUCGCCCUGGUGAGACCGUGUAAGAUGGGACUGUGCCAGCAUCAUCACUCAGGUGAAACAAAGGUAGUGAGCCAUCGUGGGAAGACUUUACAGGACAUACCUGAAGACUUUCUGGAAAUGGAUCUUGCAAAAAAUGAGCACAGAGUUCACGUGCAAAUGGAGCCGGUAUGACACACUUUCUUACAACAACAGCCACUGUGUUGGCUGGAGAGGGAUGGGGUGGGCCCAACGGAGACACAAGGAGGUAGAGGAGCUAACCCCUCUACUCCACUUUCAAAACUACAUUUUAAAGGGAAUGUGUAUGUGAAGAGCACUACCAACAUCGCUUUUGUUUUAAGUUUUCCUUUUUGCUUGUUUUUAAAGCCAAAACAAAAAACAACCAAGCACUCUUCCAUAUAUAAAUCUGGCUGUAUUCAGUAGCAAUACAAAAGAUAUGUAGAAAGACUCUUUGGUUCACAUUCCAAUAUUAAAAUAGUGACACGAACUGGCAAAGUGGUUUUAAAAGCUUUCACAUGGGAUAAAUGAUUUUCUUUCUUUCUUUUCUUUCUUC